UUCUUGAAAACUAAAAAAAUUGGCGGUAUUUUAGUCUGCUCAGAGGAACCUGUCCUUUAAUUGAUGGUCCACGAUUAACCUCACUUUUUCUUUUAGUUUGUAUAUCGCCGUAGGUUGAAUAUUUUUCUAGAAUUUUUAAUGUUCAAGAUUUGUUUAACAAAGAAAAUCAGGUCAAGGUGUAGCUUAUGAAAAAGUAGAGAUGGGUUACAUUUAAUUUAUUUUUGGAUUGGAUAUUUUAAAUAUUUAUGAAAUUGGAUUUGACAGUAAAUUUAUUUAUAUUUUUAAGUUGAUUUUAGCUCUAAAAUAUGCACAUAUUGCCCGUCGCUUUCGUUAUAAAAUGGAAUAAGUCGUAACAUAGUAGGCGUACCGGAAGGUGUGCCUAGAAAGACCAGGUUAAAGCUUUUAAAGCAUUUUAGUUACAUUAAAAAGAUUACUGUAAAUUCGGUAUGGCCUGAAUCUAUUAUAUUAUUAAAAAUUUUUGUAAAUUUUUAUUUGUGAUAAGUAUAUUAAAUUUUAUUAUUAUUUAAGAACAGAUUAAUAUUUAAUUAUAGUUUAUUUGUAUUGUGAAAGAUUUAUAUAAAAUUUGUUUAAGAAGUUUUUAUUUGGCGUACCUGGGUAUCAGGGUUUAUUAAUUAGAAUUUAUGUAUAUUAAGUUUCCCGAAUUUAGAAGAGCUAUAAUAGUAUUAUUUUUAUUGUUGAAUAAAUAUUAUUAAUAUUAUUAUUGAAGUGAAAUGCUAGUCGAUUCUAUUUUUAUCUGGUUUUUCAAGAAAUCAAUUUAAUUGAUCUUAUUUAUUGUAAUUACCUUAUUUUUUAGGUGUUUAUUUUAAUAAUGAAAUGUUUCAAGGGAUGAGCUUUGAGACAAAUUUUUAUAAAAUAAUUUAUCUAUGUUUUUAAGUAGGAUUAUAAGUUUCUUUCUUUUUUAAAGUGUUUUAACUAAAAUUCUUUCUAUCAAGAUUUAUAUAUUUUUUAAGUUUUUUAUUGAAAUUUAUUCUUUAAUUUUAUAAGUUUAGUAAUAAUGAUAAAAUUAGUAUAUAUUUAUAUGUAAAGUCUUUUAAACUGUAAGGUUAAAAAAAGGAACUCGGCAAAUUGAUUUUCCACCUGUUUAUUAAAAACAUGUCUUUUUGGUAUUAAUUUAAAGUCUGGCCUGCCCUAUGAUUAAUUAAAUGGCCGCGGUAUUUUGACCGUGCAAAGGUAGCAUAAUCAUUAGUUUUUUAAUUGAAAGCUUGUAUGAAGGGUUGGAUGAGAAAAUAACUGUCUCUUUUUAAAUUUUUUAGAAUUUUAUUUUUAAGUAAAAAAGCUUAAAUUAUGUUUGAAGACGAGAAGACCCUGUAGAGUUUUAUAAGUUUUUUUAUGUUUAAUUGUUUGGUUUAAU
rnacentral:rRNA from 1 species